UACGGAGGGUGCAAGCAUUAAUCGGAUUUAUUGGGCGUAAAGGGCGCGUAGGUGGGUUUGUAAGUCAAGUGUGAAAUUCCGGGGCUCAACUUCGGAACUGCACGUGAAACUACAAGUCUUGAGGAUUGGCGGAGAAAACGGAAUUCCACAAGUAGCGGUGAAAUGCGUAGAUAUGUGGAAGAACACCGGUGGCGAAGGCGGCAUCCUGGACCGGUAUUGACGCUGAGGCGCGAAAGCCAGGGGAGCAAACGGG
rnacentral:rRNA from 1 species